UUUGACAUGCAAGUGGUAGGAAGCCGAAGGUGACGACCCUUCGGGGAGCUUGCACAGGUGCUGCAUGGCUGUCGUCAGCUCGUGUCGUGAGAUGUUCGGUUAAGUCCGCUAACGAGCGCAACCCUCGCUGUGUGUUAUAUGUGUCACACGGGACUGCCGGUCUUAAGCCGGAGGAAGGUGGGGAUGAUGUCAAGUCAGCAUGGCCUUUAUAUCCUGGGCUACACACACGCUACAAUGGCCAACACAAUAGGUUGCUAAGCCGCGAGGUGGCGCCAAUCCAUAAAGUUGGUCUCAGUUCAGAUUGUAGGCUGCAACCCGCCUGCAUGAAGAUGGAGUUGCUAGUAACCGCAGGUCAGCUAUACUGCGGUGAAUACGUUCCCGGGGCUU
rnacentral:rRNA from 1 species